rnacentral:lncRNA from 1 species
GCCUCACCUGCAGCAUAUGGACGUUCCCAGGAUAGGGGUCAAAUCAGAGCUAUAGCUGCCAGCCUACACCACAGACACAGCAAUGCGGGAUCUGAGCCAUGUCUGCGACCUACACCAUAGCUCAUGCCAACACCAGAUCCUUAACCCACUGAUCAAGCCCAGGGAUCAAACCUGUGUCCUCAUGGAUACUAGUCAGGUUCAUAACCCACUAAGCCGCAAUGAGAACUCCCCAGAAAGGAACAUUUUGAUUCAUUCUACUUUGGAUUUUAAGUAUCUCCACCACACUCUGUAAAGGCCGGGGGUGGGGGUGCAGUGGGUGAGAAGGGACAGGUAAGACUGAAGAGGAAGGGCAUCACUGUGGGUCAGUACCCACUACCUCUGGUGGCCUGAUGCCUUCCCCAUGCAUUUCAUUUAAUUCUUUUUUUAAAAUUUUAUUGGAGUAGAACUGACUUUUACAAUGGUGUGUAAAUUUCAGGUGUACAGCAAAGGGAUUCAGUUAUACAUACCCAUAUACACAUUCUUAUUCAGAUUCUUUUCCCAGACAGGUUAUGACAGAGUAUUGAGUAGCAUUCCCUGUGCUCUCUAGCAGGUCCUUGUUGGUUAUCUAUUUCAUACACAGUAGUGUGUCUCUGUUAAUCCCAAACUCCUAAUUUAUCCCUCUCCCCCACCUUUCCCCUUUGGUAACCAUAUAUUUGACUUCAAAAAUCUGUGAGUCUGUUUCUGUGUUAUAAAUAAGUUCUUUUGCAUCAUUUUUAUUAGAUCCAAUAUGUAAGUGAUCUCAUUUGAUUUGUCUAUGUCUGACUUAAUUCACUUCGUGCGAUCAUCUCUAUGUCCAUCCAUGUUGCGGCAAAUGGCAUUAUCUCAUUCUCUUUUUAGGGCUGAGUAAUACACACACACACACACACACACACACACACACACACACACACCUUCUUUAUCCACUCCUCUGCUGGUGGACAUUUAAGUUGCUUCCAUGUCUUGGCUAUUGUGAAUAGUGCUGCAGUGAACAUUGGAGUGCGUGUAUCUCUUCGAAUUAUGGUUUUCUCUGGAUAGAGGCCCAGGAGUGGGAUUGCUGGAUUGUAUGACAGUUCUAUUUUUAGCUUUCUAAGGAACAUCCCUACUGUUCUCCCUAGUGGUUGCACCAAUUUACAUUCCCACUGACAGUGCGGGAGGGUCUCCUUUAACUCCUCCAACAGCCUCUGAAGUAUUAUUAUUCCUACUCUGCACACAAGGAAACUAAGCCUCAGAGAUGCUUAAUGAUGGGGCGAGACCCCCAGUCAGUAAGCAAGAGAGCUUUGACUCAAACCCCAGCAAUGCCCAGCCCCAAAAGCUCAAAGCUUUCCCCUCCACUGCAGUCCUCCCCAUCUUUACAAUCCCCGCGGUAUCUAACAGCGUCUCUUAAUAGAAGUGAAUAAGAAAUAUUUAUUGGAGUUCCCGUCGUGGCUCAGUGGUUAACGAAUCCGACUAGGAACCAUGUGGUUGCGGGUUGCCCUUUUCUAAUAAAGUACUCUAAGUCCAGAAACCAGGAAGUUAAAUUCCUUUGACACCUUACAGGGCAAAGUAAUGGUAAUAAAUGACAGCCUGGGUGAUACACUAUGCAGAGGAGGCCCCUAGUGGUGGAGCCGCUACGCCAACUUGGCUUGGUCGGUUUUCUAAGACUGCUUCAUCACCAGGGCAAAAUCGAUACAUAAUAAAGUCUACCUGAGUUACCUUCUUUAAUGACCUCUAUUGGCCCUAACCUAUAGUAGGGCCAUCACUUAGAAUCCCAAGGUCCUUUCACCAGGAACAACAACAAAAAGUGACCUAAAGAAUAACUUCAUUACAUUCUGUCUUUCAAAUUCACAAAUAUUUAUGAAGCGCCACGCUCUGCCAGGCCUGCGCUGGCCUGGAGAGACAGGGUAAAACACGGAGAGU